UUUUAACUUUUUUUAUUCUAUCAAUUAGAUUCAUUACGUAGUCUACACAAGCAUUAAUGUAUCAUGAUUUAUUUAAUCUAAAACAAGCUACAAGUUCAGAUUAUACAAAUGUAGAUUCAAUAAAUUUCAUUCUUUGUUAAGAUCAAGGUCAAUUGGCAGCGUUGUGUUGAGGUCUUUCUAUUCAUUUAGUUCCUAAUAAAUGCUUAAACUUGUUUUGUUCUUAUCUUCUACCAAUAGUCAUGUUGUUUUUCAUUAUAUGGGUUGAUCGAAAUGUCUUCUUUAGAAGACAGCACCUCUGUGUUGACAUGGGUUAUCAUUGAUAUAGUCAUAAUAGAAAUUAACUGUUUACGAAACUUUGAAUUUUUCGAAAAACUAAGGAUUUUCAACCCCAGCUACCCAAGGAAUAGACUACCUUAACUGUAUUUGGCAAAACCUUUCGGAACUUUGGGUCUUUAAUGCUCUUCAAUUUUAAGCGUCACUGAUGAGUCUUUUGUAGACGAAAAGCGCGGCACACACUUUUAAUCCUGGUAUAUAUGAUGAGUUUAUUCAGUUGAGAGUAGUUGAAUUUAUAUGUGUAAUGCUUUGAGAUCUUGAUUAAAACUGGUACAUGGUGGUAAAAAUGGCCUUAUUUUGAGAUAUUUUAUACAACACUCGUGUUUUUGUGAUUAAUUUCUGAUAAGAACAAUGAUAUAAAUUUCUUUCAGUUGUCUAGUUCUCGUUUCAUUUAUUGCCAGUACUUGAGUUACUUCAUCAUUGAUAUUAUAAAUAUUUGGCAUACACAUUGAAUGUAGCUUUGUGUCGUUCUAUUUCAAAUUCAAAUUAAUUGUAAUCUAGAAAUUGACUCAUGCUUGGUGGGAAAUCUUAUAAAUGUUCUUUAACUAAUAUAACUUGUUCAGAUAACGUAUACUAGUAAUUCAUUUGUGUUAGAGUUUCAACCAAAGUACAGUUUGUUCAUUCUUGUAGUUCACAUGACAUCACAAUAAAAAUCACUUUCAUGUUGAUAUGGUUUGCGUUUGUGAGCAUUAUGUUUUAUCGAAUCAGCACAUCUUGAUAACUUGGAGUCUGACAGUGUGCAGUUCUAAAACUAAAUUUUCUAAUAUUAUUUAAUAUAGCGACAGUUCAUAUACAUGAUAGCCUGUCUAUACUGAGGUUGUGAGGUCGAGUUACAAACUGUGUAUGAUGAGCAGUUGAUAUUUGUUUUAGUCAUCUGCUGCUUAUCUUUCGGUAGUUGUUUUUCAUUGUUAUUGUUUUGUACGACCAAUAAAUAAUUGCUGUUUUCAUCUACACUACAAUCUGAUUUGUGAAAACCAAAAAGAGGGGAUAUCAGUAUCAACAUCAGUUUUAUAUGUUUAUAAAUGUUCAGUUUCAGUUUUAGUUGUUGCUGAAUAUUGACUCUAGGUUUGAUUUGUUGCUGUAUAUUGACUCUAGGUUUGAUUUGUUGCUGAAUAUUGACUCUAGGUUUGAUUUGUCGCUGAAUAUUGACUCUAGGUUUGAUUUGUUGCUGAAUAUUGACUCUAGGUUUGAUUUGUUGCUGAAUAUUGACUCUAGGUUUGAUUUGUCGCUGAAUAUUGACUCUAGGUUUGAUUUGUUCCUGAAUAUUGACUCUAGGUUUGAUUUGUUCCUGAAUAUUGACUCUAGGUUUGAUUUGUUGCUGAAUAUUGACUCUAGGUUUGAUUUGUCGCUGAAUAUUGACUCUCGGUUUGAUUUGUUCCCGAAUAUUGACUCUAGGUUUGAUUUGUUGCUGAAUAUUGACUCUAGGUUUGAUUUGUUCCUGAAUAUUGACUCUAGGUUUGAUUUGUUGCUGUAUAUUGACUCUAGGUUUGAUUUGUUGCUGUAUAUUGACUCUGGGUUUGAUUUGUUGCUGAAUAUUGACUCUAGGUUUGAUUUGUUGCUGUAUAUUGACUCUAGGUUUGAUUU